rnacentral:rRNA from 1 species
ACGGAGGAUGCGAGCGUUAUCCGGAUUUAUUGGGUUUAAAGGGUGCGUAGGCGGAUAGAUAAGUCAGUGGUGAAAACCUGCAGCUUAACUGUAGACUUGCCGUUGAUACUGUCAGUCUUGAGUAUGGUCAAGGUAGGCGGAAUGUGUAAUGUAGAGGUGAAAUGCUUAGAGAUCGCGCGGAACAUCGGUUGCGAAGGCAGCUUGCUGGGCCAUUACUGACGCUGAUGCGCGAAAGCGUGGGGAGCGAACAG